CGUAGGGUGCGAGCGUUAAUCGGAAUUACUGGGCGUAAAGCGUGCGCAGGCGGUUUUGUAAGACAGGCGUGAAAUCCCCGGGCUCAACCUGGGAACUGCGCUUGUGACUGCAAGGCUAGAGUACGGCAGAGGGGGGUGGAAUUCCACGUGUAGCAGUGAAAUGCGUAGAGAUGUGGAGGAACACCAAUGGCGAAGGCAGCCCCCUGGGUCGAUACUGACGCUCAUGCACGAAAGCGUGGGUAGCAAACAGGAUUAGAUACCCUGGUAGUCCACGCCCUAAACGAUGUCAACUAGGUGUUGGGUGGGUAAACCAUUUAGUACCGGAGCUAACGCGUGAAGUUGACCGCCUGGGGAGUACGGCCGCAAGGUUA
rnacentral:rRNA from 1 species